rnacentral:lncRNA from 1 species
AAGGGAACAAAUAAAAAGAAAAAAGCAAAUAACAAAUAUUGCUAUGAUGAUCGAGAAUAUCAAAGUGCAAAGCAACUUGUACAACAUGAAUUUUAUGACAAUAUAAAUUUUUAUAAUAUUUAUUAUAAAGAAAUGACGAUUAGAAAAAAAAUGAGACAAAUUUGGAAACUUAGAAAAAGGGAAAAGUAUGAAAUUAGUAGCGGGUGUAGUAGUGAUGAAGAUGCAGUCGUCUGUACCAUCUUGGAAAGAAGUAUACCUACUAAAGAGAAUAAUAAAUUGUAUGACAUUAACCAUAACAACAGUAACAACCAUACCACUAAUUACUACUACGAUAUGGAAGGCACAAUGAAUAAUUCUGACAAAUACUCAUACAAUAAGGAAAAAAAUUAUGAGACAUGUAUAGAACAACAUGAUUAUAUAGACAAUUCGAAUACCAGUACUAGUACGAACGUCAAGUUAAACAAUAACUAUAGUAACAGUUAUUUGUAUUUUUUAAAAAAUAAAAACAAAUUUGUAUUUAAAAAUAAGUUCAAUGUAUUUUUAAAUCAAGAUAACAUCUGUAUGCCUAACCUAAAAAAUAGAAAUGAUUGUUUAUUAAAAAGUAACAACAUGCAUAUACAAAUGGAUGCUACGACUGAUGAAAGAAGAUGUAAAGUUUUAAUUAAUGAUUUUUUUGUUAAUUUAAAUAUUGAUAAUAUUAAAGAUAUAUAUAAAUUACAUACUGAUUUUAUGUAUACAAUUUAUUGUGCCAAUUUUUAUAAGGCGUAUAAAUCAUUUAUAAGGAAUAUAUAUAUUGAUCCAUUUCGUUUAAAAAAAAAAAGUGUGACACUAAAAUCGAAUGAAAAAAUCCAAAUAAAAAAUUUAUACAUUAAUAAUAUUAAAAAGCUGAAACAGUUUAAAACAAAUUUAAUUUACGAUAAAAUGAAAAAUAUGGCAAAAAGUAACGUUCAAAACAAUAAAACGGGUAGUAUAUUGUUAAGUGCUUACAGAACAAACAACAGUGGCUUCAGUUUGAAGUCACUUUUUUCUGAAGGCACAAGUGAAAACUCGAGUUUAUUUUUUUAUAGAAAAGGUAAACGCGCAAAUAAAUAUAAUUUCAAGAAAAGGAAAGGAGGGUUGAGUAAUACAUGCAUAAGUAGUACAACAAAAAAAAAGAAACGAAGCAGUCGUACUAGUGGUUGUGAUAACAACUUGGUUUAUAAGUUAAAAAAAGAGUCGAAUGGGGGUGAAGGCAAAGAUGAUAUGAUAAAAAAGUAUAAAACUAUUUACAGUGAAGACAAAUUAUUUAACUCUACAAUUAGCAGCAACGGAAUGUGUUCGAAGGAAGAUGAAUCAAGCGACGACGAAUCACAUGUGGUCAUGUAUAAUUUAAUAAAAGAAAAGGACAUGAUAUUUAAGUAUAUAGAUGAAACGAAAUAUAUGCAUAACAAUAUAAUGACUGUAUAUAAGAUACGUAAAAAAAUUUUAAUAAAUAAUUUUAAUACAUAUAAAAAGAUGAUUGAUAUUUACAUAAAAUUACAACCGUUUUUAGAUAGCAAACAUAUAAAUAAAAAAUAUGAUACAAUAGUAGGUAGUAUAAAAAAAAAAUAUAUGGAAAUUGAAAUAUAUAAAGACCAGUUAUACAAUGUAUAUACCAAACUAUACUCAAUAAUUAAUAAUAUUAAUAAAGAGAAAAAUGUAGUUUCUCAUGGCCUUGUUAUUUUAAAUU